rnacentral:rRNA from 1 species
UACAGAGGGUGCGAGCGUUGUCCGGAAUCACUGGGCGUAAAGGGCGCGUAGGCGGCUUGAUAAGUCGGGGGUGAAAUCCUGUGGCUUAACCACAGGGCUGCCUCCGAGACUGUCGGGCUCGAGUACAGUAGAGGCAGGUGGAAUUCCCGGUGUAGCGGUGGAAUGCGUAGAGAUCGGGAAGAACAUCGGUGGCGAAGGCGGCCUGCUGGGCUGUUGCUGACGCUGAGGCGCGACAGCGUGGGGAGCAAACAGG